rnacentral:rRNA from 1 species
AACGAACGCUGGCGGCAUGCCUAACACAUGCCAGUCGAACGAGACCUUCGGGUCUAGUGGCGCACGGGUGCGUAACGCGUGGGAACCUGCCCUUAGGUUCGGAAUAACUCCCCGAAAGGGGUGCUAAUACCGGAUAAUGUCUUCGGACCAAAGAUUUAUCGCCUUUGGAUGGGCCCGCGUUGGAUUAGCUAGUUGGUAGGGUAAAAGCCUACCAAGGCGACGAUCCAUAGCUGGUCUGAGAGGAUGAUCAGCCACACUGGGACUGAGACACGGCCCAGACUCCUACGGGAGGCAGCAGUGGGGAAUAUUGGACAAUGGGCGAAAGCCUGAUCCAGCAAUGCCGCGUGAGUGAUGAAGGCCUUAGGGUUGUAAAGCUCUUUUAACCGGGAUGAUAAUGACAGUACCGGGAGAAUAAGCGCCGGCUAACUCCGUG